rnacentral:rRNA from 1 species
UACGUAGGGGGCAAGCGUUGUCCGGAUUUAUUGGGCGUAAAGCGCGUGUAGGCGGCCAGAUAGGUCUGCUGUGAAAACUCGGGGCUUAACCCCGAGCCUGCAGUGGAUACGGGCAGACUAGAGGUAGGUAGGGGAGAAUGGAAUUCCCGGUGUAGCGGUGAAAUGCGCAGAUAUCGGGAGGAACACCGGUGGCGAAGGCGGUUCUCUGGGCCUUACCUGACGCUGAGGAGCGAAAGCGUGGGGAGCGAACAGG